rfam:Clostridium sp. CAG:277 genomic scaffold, scf150
UGAUAGCUGUGAAGCGUGAGGUUGCUGUCAUCUGGUAACGAAUGACAGGUUUUCCGUGGAGCGAAUGUCAAGUUAGGAAACUGGCGACAA